GGUUCUAAUUUAUGCCGUAAUGCUCAUGGCUUUUUUGUUGAUUGUGGCGUUUGGAACCGCCAUAAUUUUUCUUUUAAUUUGAGUGAUGUUGCAUAUGAGAGUGUAAUUAGUAUUGUUGCAUAUGAGAAAGUGAAGACAAUGACACUGGCGAACCCUAAUUUCUUGCCUUUGUUCAUCUUCCACUGAUUUGUCAUUCAAAUCCUCGCUGUCGCUCAUCCCCUUGUUGCAGCUCAUCUCCUCGUUGCUGCAAGCAACACCGUUGUCACUGCCUUCAUUGAGCUUCUACGAUUUGGCUUCGAUCUGAAGAUUUGUCAGCAUUCGUCGGAGCUCCGAUUUCUACGUUUCAUCAAUUCACAGAGUCUCUCUCUCUCUUUCUCUGACGUUUAGCUUCUUCUCCUCGGAGCUCCGAAAAAACCAUCACAGUCACCACCACCACUGAGCGCCACCAUGGAAGGCGGUGGAGCAACGCUAUCGGAUGUUUACCAAGGCGCGAAGAAGCUCCUCCUGAAUACACGCGACGGCAUGGAACGCCUUGAGCGCCUCGACUACUCCGCCUCCUCCGAUCUCUCUUUCUCCCUCUCCAACGACAUCUCUCAGAUCCAAUCCCUAUGCGUCCAGAUGGAUCGAUUCUGGCGCUCCAUCGCCGCCAAAUCUCAACGUGAUCUCUGGAAAAGUUAUUAGGCCAUGAUUGUUCUGAAGUAAACGAAGUAUCUGCAAUCGAUGAAAUAAAUUGCCUUUUGGUUGAGAGGUAAAAGUUUAAUUCCUUUUGGUUGAGAAGGUGAAAGUUGAAUUCCUUUUGGUAGAAAGCUAGGUUCUGUUUGUUGGGAGAAAGAAGGGAUUGAGGGAGGUAUGCUUUUUUCUGAUCCUAGCAUGGCCAAGUCAAUCCACCACGCCAGGUUCUGAUCCGCCAGCGCCACAUUAGAACUUGCUAAAAAAGUUCCACAAGGGUCAUCCAAAAGUCAGAACUCAGAUUAGCAUUGCUGUGGCUGCAUUGGCUGUGCAUGUGCCUGCUGAAGAUUGGGGAGAUGGUGGUAUAGUGAAAUGGCUUAGGGACGAGAUGGAUUCUCAUCCGGAAUAUAUACCAGGAUUCUUGGAGUUACUAACAGUUUUGCCAGAGGUCAUAGUAUGAUAUGUGUGAUUAUGUGUCAUCUCUUCAUUUUAUUAAUGAGACAAAUGCCUAAAGUUUGAGUUACUAAGUGACAAGUUGUUAUAAUUUUCAAAGUUGCUGCCUUGUCGGAUAGUAUUUUUUCUUGGUUAUCAUUCAGGUUCUUGAAGCGUUUGCUUCGUGGCUUCGCCUAAAGCAUGGGUACUAAUUUUUUUCUACCUCUUUGCAUAUUGGAGUGUUUGGCUAAGUUGUUUUUAUUGAAUGUAUUAAUAUAUUAUUCUGAUCAAGAUUAAUUAUUCAAGAACUGUUUUGUAUAAAUGAAUCAUCUGAAUUGUGUAGCAUAUUGGAGGAAGCUUGUCAGAUGAGUGUGCUUUACUGUCAAGCAUUUAGUUAAUUUUUUUUGGGCGAUCUAUAGUGUUCUCAACUAUAUGUAUAUAUUUGGGUUUUUUAAAAUCACAAAUAUAUAAUUGACAGUUGGCUUUUAAACAAAAGAAUGUUGAAUGGAAUGAGUAUCUCAACUUAUAGGAAACAGACUUGUCAAGUGAAACUGAUGGAAAGCAUAGAUGCAUUCCACAAAUGCUAUAUAAUUUCAGGAAGGGUUUAUAAAGUUAAUGAAGAAUAUGGGGGAGAUAUGUAUUUAAUUUGAAUAUUACAACUUUAUUAUCUUGGUUUAUGUGUUUCUUUUUCCAUUGGCUUUACUAUUUCUCUUUAAAUUUUUGUUCGUUUCAGGAUUCCCGGAUCUGUUCUCAGUACCCAUCCAUUAGUUCUUACAGCAUUAUCAAGCUUGAAUUCUGAGUUUCUUUCUGAGGCAUCUGUAAAUGGGGUUGUUGGUCUGACUCCAGAGUGAAAGCAACUCUAUGUUAGCAUAUCAGUUAUUAGCGUUGUUGAAUUAUCCAUGUAAACUAUGAAACAUGAAUAGCAUGAUGAAAUUCCUCUGUGCUUUGGUUUGGUUUUUUUAUAUUUAUCUUUUACUUUUACAAUUAUUUAUACGUCUUCGUUAAGCAAUUGGCACAUGAGAGAAUUAGUUUAUGUAGAUUAUUACUUUGUAGCUCUGUACUGAUAUUUCCAAUUUAUGGAAUAUGAAUGCAGCAUACUUACAGGUUUCCUUUAAUUCAUGAUGGACGAUAGUCCAACCACCGGAAGUGUGAACACCAUGACUGCCGAGAAGCAGUAUCUAGCAAAAUUACUUGUAUGGGAGAAAAUAACUUGAAGCAGUAUCACCCAAGCUGGUGGAAGAGGCAUGAAUUCAAUUAGCAGCUUGUGUUGAAAUGAUAAAUGAAAGUAUUACUGCAUUUUCACUCCAUUUUCUCCUUGUGUUGCUGCAAUCAAGGAUGUGGUCUUGAAAUUGAACCCGCUUCUCACAAAAGAACAAGCUAUUGGUUUCCGUUGCUGCUAGAGUCAAGCUCCAUGAUCUUCAGGUUUCUCAAUGCAUUAGUUGGUUUUGGACUAUUUGACAGAGGAUUCCUUGUGGUUGGGAGCUGCGUUGAAAUUGGAAUUCCCAUGCUAAUACUGUUUAUAGCCUUAUCUCAGUAUUUGAAGAAUUUUCAGAUAAGACAAGUACCACGAUGACGAAGAUGAAGAAUUAUGGAAACUUCUUUAGCUGUUAGUUCAAUGGAACUGUCAAUAAAAAUUUGGGACCUUGAUGUUAUUGAUGCUGUGCAGCCAUGCAUGGUUUUAGGUGGCAUUUCAGAGAAAAAGAAGGGGAAGAAGGUUUUGGGACUAGAAGUAUGUGCUGAUACUAUUGUAGGAAAUGCAAUGCUAAGAGGUAUUUCUGGUGGGCAAAGAAAACUUCUUACAACAGGAGAAGUGCUGGUUGGAUCAGCUAGAGCUCUUUUCAUGGAUGAAAUAUCUACUGGUUUAGAUAGCUCAACAACUUUUUCGAAUUGUGAACUCACUAAAGCAUCUCAUCCACUCUCUUAAAGGAACUGCCGUUGUCUCACUCCUUCAACCAGCAUCAGAGACUUACAAUCUUUUUGAUGACGUUAUUCUACUCUCUGAUGGCCACAUUGUAUAUCAAGGUCCCCAUAAACAUGUUCUCGAAUUUUUCGCCUUCAUGGGCUUUAAAUGUCCCGAGAGGAAAGGAGUUGCAGACUUUUCGCAAGAAGUAAUAAAUUUGAAUAAUGUGUUUCUGGAUCCAUAAUCUGCAUUAUUUAAUUUGAUCUACACAAAUUUAUUGU